GGUAUUGUUUUAUAUCCACCCCACGAUAAGCCCCGGAAACUUAUUGUGUUACAAGAUAUAGAAGCAGGAA
rfam:Staphylococcus microti strain DSM 22147 contig_32, whole genome shotgun sequence.